ACUAGGGCUGAAACAAUUACUCGACAUUAUCGACAACGUCGACGAUAAAAAUAAAAUUUUCAGCAAAUGUUUUUGAGUAACGUUAGUGGUUUGAUCUCGUAUCUGCCUGAUUUGAAAGCCUGCAUUAAUGCAGUUUGACCAGUGUGGCGCUGUAGCGCAAGAUUGUAAUACACUCUCCUGAUUCAAUUAAAAAGAAGAAGAUAGCACUUCAGUUUGAGGCAAACCGACCCGAUCCGAACCUUGGAUGAAUAUGUUUGUGCAGAAUUUGAGACAUCCAGAAUUACCAUAGGCCCAUUAGAAUCAACAAUCUUUGCCAAACUUGAUUCGGACUACAAAAUUUACGAAGAUGUUUUCAUACUGAAGAAGAGACCUUGGACAAAUACUGAAACCCUCUUGGUGCCCACUACACAGACUAAUGAAAUUGAAGUAUCCAAAUGAAGACCCUAGCAGUAUGGAGUAUAUGGAUACAGACGUUGCCAGCAGUCAGGAGGUGAUCCAGAAGACUCAUGGGAAUCUAUUUGAAGCUGCAUCAUUGAAGACAGUCCAGCAGAAGUUGGAGUUUUAAAGGAUAAAGUUCUUCAGGACCUAUAGCAGUUUACAGUCUUUAAAACCAUGUUACUGGGACUGAUUUAUGGACUGAACUUGAGCAACCCUCCUGAACUCAGGUACACAUUUGGAAUACUGAAGAAGUUAUUUCUGGAGCCAGUUCCUGUUCCUGGAAUAAGGUUUGAUUGGUUGCCCAUGAAUGCCAAUUAGAAUUGUAUUUGCUAUUUUGUGUAAUUUUGUAAUGUGGUUUAAACUGUAUUUUACUGUGUGUAAUUAUUUAUUGCU